rfam:Brachypodium distachyon strain Bd21 chromosome 2, whole genome shotgun sequence.
CAUGUAAUUCCUCCGUCCAACAAUGGUGUCUCAACUUUGACUAAAUUUCAAUGUAUCCAUACACUAAGUCAUGUCUAGAUACAUCCAAAUUUUGACAAACUUGAGACAUCUUUUGUUGUACGGAGGGAGUAAUAG